rnacentral:tRNA from 1 species
CGCGGGGUGGAGCAGUUCGGUAGCUCGUCGGGCUCAUAACCCGAAGGUCGCAGGUUCAAAUCCUGUCCCCGCNC